UACGUGGGGUGCAAGCGUUGUUCGGAAUUACUGGGCGUAAAGCGUGCGCAGGCGGUGAUGUAAGACAGAUGUGAAAUCCCCGGGCUCAACCUGGGAACUGCAUUUGUGACUGCAUCGCUGGAGUGCGGCAGAGGGGGAUGGAAUUCCGCGUGUAGCAGUGAAAUGCGUAGAUAUGCGGAGGAACACCGAUGGCGAAGGCAAUCCCCUGGGCCUGCACUGACGCUCAUGCACGAAAGCGUGGGGAGCAAACAGG
rnacentral:rRNA from 1 species